AUUGAACGCUGGCGGCAGGCCUAACACAUGCAAGUCGAACGGUAACAGGAAGAAGCUUGCUUCUUUGCUGACGAGUGGCGGACGGGUGAGUAAUGUCUGGGAAACUGCCUGAUGGAGGGGGAUAACUACUGGAAACGGUAGCUAAUACCGCAUAACGUCGCAAGACCAAAGAGGGGGACCUUCGGGCCUCUUGCCAUCGGAUGUGCCCAGAUGGGAUUAGCUAGUAGGUGGGGUAACGGCUCACCUAGGCGACGAUCCCUAGCUGGUCUGAGAGGAUGACCAGCCACACUGGAACUGAGACACGGUCCAAACUCCUACGGGAGGCAGCAGUGGGGAAUAUUGCACAAUGGGCGCAAGCCUGAUGCAGCCAUGCCGCGUGUAUGAAGAAGGCCUUCGGGUUGUAAAGUACUUUCAGCGGGGAGGAAGGGAGUAAAGUUAAUACCUUUGCUCAUUGACGUUACCCGCAGAAGAAGCACCGGCUAACUCCGUG
rnacentral:rRNA from 1 species